AUCAUUCAAUUAUUGACGAUUGCGAAUUAUGGCUGAUUAUAACAAGACAUGAGUUGAUGCCAAGUUGAAUUGCACGAAGGGUAGGGCGGUCUUGGUCGUGAGAAAGAAUCUGGCAACUUCAUUUUGGAGGACGAGAGACCAUUUCGACCACCGCUGCAUGACUUCAAUCUCAUAUAAUCGAGCAAGGGGACAAUUGAAAAAUGGAGGGAGAUCAAUCACAUCUUUGUUGUUGUUCCUAAGCUCUCUCCUUCACAGGCCAAGCAAUAUUGUCCCCACGAGAGACUGUUGUUUCAAUUGAGUGUUGUAGUUUCAGUGGAGAAUUGUGUGGCAAGAUGUGAUUGGUUGCUAUGGCCCAAUCUUUGCUGUA